rnacentral:rRNA from 1 species
AGAGUUUGAUCCUGGCUCAGAUUGAACGCUGGCGGCAGGCCUAACACAUGCAAGUCGAGCGGCAGCACGGGUACUUGUACCUGGUGGCGAGCGGCGGACGGGUGAGUAAUGCCUAGGAAUCUGCCUGGUAGUGGGGGAUAACGCUCGGAAACGGACGCUAAUACCGCAUACGUCCUACGGGAGAAAGCAGGGGACCUUCGGGCCUUGCGCUAUCAGAUGAGCCUAGGUCGGAUUAGCUAGUUGGUGAGGUAAUGGCUCACCAAGGCGACGAUCCGUAACUGGUCUGAGAGGAUGAUCAGUCACACUGGAACUGAGACACGGUCCAGACUCCUACGGGAGGCAGCAGUGGGGAAUAUUGGACAAUGGGCGAAAGCCUGAUCCAGCCAUGCCGCGUGUGUGAAGAAGGUCUUCGGAUUGUAAAGCACUUUAAGUUGGGAGGAAGGGCAGUUACCUAAUACGUGAUUGUUUUGACGUUACCGACAGAAUAAGCACCGGCUAACUCUGUGCCAGCAGCCGCGGUAAUACAGAGGGUGCAAGCGUUAAUCGGAAUUACUGGGCGUAAAGCGCGCGUAGGUGGUUCGUUAAGUUGGAUGUGAAAGCCCCGGGCUCAACCUGGGAACUGCAUUCAAAACUGACGAGCUAGAGUAUGGUAGAGGGUGGUGGAAUUUCCUGUGUAGCGGUGAAAUGCGUAGAUAUAGGAAGGAACACCAGUGGCGAAGGCGACCACCUGGACUGAUACUGACACUGAGGUGCGAAAGCGUGGGGAGCAAACAGGAUUAGAUACCCUGGUAGUCCACGCCGUAAACGAUGUCAACUAGCCGUUGGGAGCCUUGAGCUCUUAGUGGCGCAGCUAACGCAUUAAGUUGACCGCCUGGGGAGUACGGCCGCAAGGUUAAAACUCAAACUCAAAGGAAUUGACGG